GAGUUUGAUCCUGGCUCAGGAUGAACGCUGGCGGCGUGCCUAACACAUGCAAGUCGAACGAAGUUACUUGCUUAGAUCUCUUCGGAGUGACGAGCUUUUAACUUAGUGGCGGACGGGUGAGUAACACGUGAGCAACCUGCCUUUCAGAGGGGGAUAACGGCUGGAAACGGUCGCUAAUACCGCAUGAUAUAUUGAAUCGGCAUCGGUUUAAUAUCAAAGGAGCAAUCCGCUGAAAGAUGGGCUCGCGUCUGAUUAGAUAGUUGGUGGGGUAACGGCCUACCAAGUCGACGAUCAGUAGCCGGACUGAGAGGUUGAACGGCCACAUUGGGACUGAGAUACGGCCCAGACUCCUACGGGAGGCAGCAGUGGGGAAUAUUGCACAAUGGGGGAAACCCUGAUGCAGCAACGCCGCGUGAAGGAAGACGGUUUUCGGAUUGUAAACUUCUUUUCUUAGUGAAGAAGAAAGUGACGGUAGUUAAGGAAUAAGCAUCGGCUAACUACGUGCCAGCAGCCGCGGUAAUACGUAGGAUGCGAGCGUUAUCCGGAAUUACUGGGUGUAAAGGGAGCGCAGGCGGGACUGCGAGUUGGAUGUGAAAUACCGCAGCUUAACUGCGGAGCUGCAUCCAAAACUGUAGUUCUUGAGUGGAGUAGAGGCAAGCGGAA
rnacentral:rRNA from 1 species